UGGGCUGCCCAGGAGCACCGGUGUGACCAGCACCACUUCAGGCUUCUCCACGGCCAACAUCCGACAAACUGGGGGUUAAUUGGGUUCUUUAUUCCCAUCUUCCCCCAAGCAGGGAGCAUUUCCUCAGUCCCGACUCUUUUAAACAGAAUUUCUCUGCUUCCCAGCAAAUCUCCAUUAAAUCAAUGGCAAAUCCAUGCAGAGCUGCUUCUCUGAGUGCCUUGAACCAGGAACGGACCUGCUGCAGGACAGAUACUGAGGUGGGGGCUCCUCCUGGCCUGGCCUUAUCCCAGCUUUAUUCCCUUAUUUAUCACGGACCAAGACCUUGAUCUGCUUGAGGCCAUGGGGCACAGCCCAUAUCCCUGCACAUGGCGACUCGGGCAUCACAAUGACCACGGGGACCAAAGGGAAGGCUGAUUCUGGAACACCACACGUUCAGGUGUGCAAGGCCUCAGAACCCGUCACCGGAAGCAACAGGAGAUGACAACUGCCCCAUGGAACACAAGCUACCACAUCAGGGAUGCACAGACAUGAAAGGAGACAACCCCUCCCCUGCACAUUUGGUUUGCCUGUCCCUGCUAAUCCUCAGCAAUCCAACAUGAUGGGAGACCUGUAACCUCAUCACAGUCCAUAGUGGAGUUUAGAGAUGAAUUGCCAGAAGAACCAGCUACUGCUUGCGAGGCUGGACGGGGAGGCUUCCAAGCUUGGAGGGUUUGGGUUCCCCUUUCCAGUGGCUGUGGAGCAGGAGCAGCUCCAGGACAUGGUCGCAUGUCCUGGUUCCUGUGUGUGGUGCUUUUCCCUGCUGUGCUGGUUUGUGCCUGUGGAACACCCUGACCUUGGCAUCUCUGGGCUAGGGCUUGCAUGAUGCCAUGAGUCCAGGAGGGGGUAUUUAAGGAAAUAAAAGCCCCAAACUUCUCCAGCC